CUCACGUCUGGCUGCCCUUGCAGAGGUUGUCAGAAGGAGCAGAGUUGUCAGACGGUCCUGAGAGGAGGAGAAUCAGCUGUCUGCAAGCCCAGGGCCGGCACGCAGAGGAGAAACAGUCUUGUGUGGUGGAAAAGCGCCAGCAUUCUGGGCAUGGAAUCCUGAUCUGCUAAUUCCAGAGACUGAACCAACAGAGGAACACAGAGAAAGCUACCCUGAUGUGUGAGAAGGCCAGGAGAAAUAAAAACCAGCGAUAAGAGAGCUCUGAGAUAAGGCUGCCGGCGCCAGGGAGCGACGGGGUUUAGCACCUACGGAGAGCUUGUGGUCGCCACUGCUGCCCUGGGCCCUAACUGCUGUGGUCCAAAAUGGUCCAGACCGAUUCUGCUAAAUUGUUUUGGGUCUAGAUUCUAGAUUUUAAAAAAAUAUUUGCUUUACCUGCCAAAAAGCAGGAUCUGUCUAGAGUCUGUACAAUAAACACAAGGGAAAAUGUAAUCUCAUCUCAAUUAAGAUGUAUAGAAACACACCUAAAGCACUAUGGACUUGUUUCUUUUUACCCUGCUUCUCUUGAAACGGAUCUGUGAU